ACUCAGCAAAUCCAUCUGUUUCUAUACAUUUGUACUUAUUUUAUCUCCAUUUCUUACUAACGAAGUUUCACUUGGAAAAUCCCAAUCUUGCCUCCAGUAAACUGGGAAGAAAAGACAUAGGGACGUGCUGAGGCUGGACUACCUGAAGGCAUCGUGGCAUCCAGAGGGCUUGAGGGAGGCAGCGGCUCUAACACCUUAGAGCCUUGGGAACAGUCUCUGUGACAGCUACACUGAGAGGAAAAAGCACAGUGGGAGAAGUUGAUCUCUUUCCACUGGGAGAUUGAUCUGCACUGGAGUGUAUGCCUUCUACGUAUUAAAAAAAAAAAAAAAAGUUAACUGCAAAACAGCCUCAGGCCAGUCCUUCAGGAGGUGUUCCAGAAGAAGGCACUAUCAUCACAGGAGAUGACAGCUCCACGUGUGUUACCCCCGCUGAAGACCUUCCAGUGGAAGAUGGUGACAUGGAUGAUCCUGACCCUGCAUAGACCUAGAUCUUCCCUGCAGCCUCUGGAAGGCCAUCAAACCAGCUGAUUGAAAGAUGAAUAUGAGUUAGCAAAGAAACAUCUUCCUGAACAGAAUAAAUAUGCAAGACUAUAAUAUACGAGAAGAACACUUUUGUUUCAAGUGAAAAUAUACAGUAUUCUAUUUGUUUUUAAAUGUUCUUUGAUUUUUUUUUUUUGCUUGUAGUUUAUUCCUAUUAAACUUGAGGAAUAUUCAAUUAAAGCUUUGCUUCCUCUCUCUCUCUUUCUCACGGUUUCUUUCUCUCUUUUUCAUGCACACAAACUGCUUGAGCUUACUACCAAAGCAGAAUGAAUUCUGUCAAUUAUCUCAUUAUUUAGAAAAUGAGUUAUUUACUUGCAUUGAAUUAUGGUUUAAAAUAACUUUCUUGUUGUAUUUCUCUUUCCUUCCAAAAUUGGUUCAUGUAUGUAUACAGUAAUAACCUGAAUGGCAUAAAAUUUUCAAGGCAAGUUUGAGCUAAUCACUUUAAUAUCCAUAUUGAUUUACCUAAAAAUAAUGAAGAAGUUCUAAAAUCAAAAGAGAUAACCCAGUUUCCAGAAUAGCCCGUGUGUACUUGCUCAUGGCGGAUAAAAUUUAGGGCAUAUGUAUUUAUUUAUUUUCAUACCUAUUUAACUACUAUA